rnacentral:piRNA from 1 species
UGAAUCUCUGAGGACUAUCCCAUA